rnacentral:miRNA from 1 species
ACUCGUCAACCAGUAAUAUUAUG